UGAAAACAUUUUCUUACAUAAUCACAAAGCCAAUGAGAUUAUGUAAAAAGUCUUCCUAACAAGCUGCUGUGAUUAUCGCCAUUUUCCAGGAAUCAAGGAGCCCUUUGUCUUGCACACAGCCCAUGCUCACCACGGCGGAGAAGACAGCCACAAAGAACACCAGCUAAGAACAGACUUACUGUACACUCUAGCACAAGACUCUUCACAUGGAGUGUGGCGAGUGCAAGGCUGAGUUCUGUGACCGAGAGAAGUGUUCUCGAAUUCUCCCCACCUAUUGGUCCUGGAAAACCUCUCCCUCUCGCUUCUCUGCCAUAGAGCACAUCCUGGGAGCAGGUUCAGCAGCUUACUGCCCACUCCACUCAUUAAUCCUAUGUGUGCUUCAGGCUCUUGGAGCCUUUCCCAAACCUUUAAUAUCCACUUGCCCCCUCCCCCCCC